rnacentral:rRNA from 1 species
AGCUCCAAUAGCGUAUAUUAAAGUUGCUGCAGUUAAAAAGCUCGUAGUUGCAUUUCCGAGGCAAGGGAUUAGUCCGACCUUUGGUGGGUAUUUAAUCCUCUUGCCUCGUCCUUGAGUGGUGCUUCUUGGUAUUAAGUUAUCGAGGAGAUAGCCGCUCAUCGUUUACUGUGAGAAAAUUAGAGUGUUCAAAGCAGGCUUAUGCCGUUGAAUAUAUUAGCAUGGAAUAAUAAGAUAGGACCUCGGUACUAUUUUGUUGGUUUGAGAACCAAGGUAAUGAUGAAUAGGGACAGUUGGGGGUAUUCGUAUUCAGUUGUCAGAGGUGAAAUUCUUAGAUUUACGGAAGACGAACGACUGCGAAAGCAUUUACCAAGGAUGUUGUCA